GUCAAUUACUCACCGCCCCUAGAGGCGGGGGCUGUAGAAAUACAAGCUCGGUUGAUUAGCCUAUGUCAUUAGCUUUUGCUAAUGAUUAGUUAUAGCAGAAUAUAUAGUCACCGUGGGAUGCUCCACAAGUCCCAUGCUCUGAG
rnacentral:sRNA from 19 species